rnacentral:rRNA from 1 species
GACGAACGCUGGCGGCGUGCUUAACACAUGCAAGUCGAGCGGUAAGGCCCUUUCGGGGGUACACGAGCGGCGAACGGGUGAGUAACACGUGGGUGACCUGCCCUCAGCUCUGGGAUAAGCCUGGGAAACCGGGUCUAAUACUGGAUAUGACUCCAUGACGCAUGUUGUGGGGUGGAAAGCCUUGUGCGGCUGAGGAUGGGCCCGCGGCCUAUCAGCUUGUUGGUGGGGNGAUGGCCUACCAAGGCGACGACGGGUAGCCGGCCUGAGAGGGCGACCGGGCCACACUGGGACUGAGACACGGCCCAGACUCCUACGGGAGGCAGCAGUGGGGAAUCUUGCGCAAUGGGCGAAAGCCUGACGCAGCGACGCCGCGUGAGGGAUGACGGCCUGG